rnacentral:lncRNA from 1 species
GGUCCUCCUUCGCAUUCCUGCAAAGGCACUUCUGACUAGUGCCUAAUGCCAUCACUGCUAGAGGCACUGCCACACGAAUGCCACCUGCCCAGUGUUCAAUUUCUCCUAUUCUCAACCCUGCAAAAUCCUUGAGGCACCACCACGUUGCCAUCAGGCUCGUGUGACACGCCGUCCUUCAACAGGAUGUGAAACAUGCCCCAAGCCCUACCUGUAUGUAGUGCUUUGCCACCUGAACUCCAGCGCAGGGCUGAAUAUGCCCCAGGGCACACCAAGUUCCAUCAGGUCCAGUCCUUGGGGGGCAUGCCAAAGAAGAGAUGUAGAUUCCAUUCAUUCCCCUCUUUCUAGUUCCUGCUAAAAAAAAUUUCUUCUCAGAGAUCUUUCCCCAAAUACAAAUAAUUCACACAAAUAGGUCUGCAAUUUUUACCUAGCAAUUUAGCAUACACGGAAACAUUCUAUUUGUAAAUAAAUAAUGACAAAAUAGACUACAGUGAAGGUUAUAACAGGGUUCACUUACCAGAUGUGUGUGGGGCACAGGUAAGAAAGGCGGCGAACCCAGACUCAGGGAAGUAAGGCUGGGAGUGGGUCUGGGAGUCUCUCUGAAAGACGUGACAACAAAGCCAAGAAUCUAAGGUUGAGUGAGAACUAGCGAGGCUAAGUGGACGUGUGAGUGUAUAUGCAGGUAAAAUAAUAUUUGUGAAGGCUCAGAGGGGAGAGAGAGAAGAACACAUUUAUUUAAGAGGUCCCAAUUCUUCCCUUCUUCAAAGAACCAGUUGGAGAUCUUUUAUUAAGCCAUGUCCUCUCACUUCCUAUUCAUCUAUUUAGAAUCUCUUUUUUUUCAUUGAUCACAACCUGUCUUCUAUUGUAAUUAUUUGUAAGCAUAUCUAUCACUCAUUAUUAGUAGAUAAUCCCUUUGUGGAUUCUGCUAAAUUAUUUUUCACAUCCUUCACAUGAAUAACCACAAUGAUUUGCAUGCAGUAGGUGCUUAAUUAAAAGCAACAUGUUUGAAGUGGCUAAGGGUGCUUGCGAUAAACAGACACACUUUUUAUGAACAAACAGUGGCUUGAAGCGAGCCAUGUGACAGAAAGCACACUGGUUCUAGGUAAAAAGGAAAGACUGGGCCAGAUCUUUCUUAUCUGUUGGAAUAAUUACUCACUGAUUAGUGUUACCAGAGUAUUUUUGAAAUAAGGAUCGAAAGAAUAAUCCCUCAGGUCUUUAUAUUUUGCUUCUUAGUUUACUAAUACUAAAUGCCUGAACUAGAUAUAUUUUACAUUAAAAACGAGUGAAAUUGAUGAUUCAUACACAGUAAUAUGACAUAUAGAGAGAGCUUAAAUACUAAUAAUAUACCUGCCACAUUGCUUAAGAAAUGGAACGUGUCUAAGAAUCAUAAUGAGAAGGUUUUUUCCUAACAAAAUGGCAAACCAACAUGGGCUACCGGACUCCUCUCUCAGCUCUGGGGAAAUUUUAGAAGUCAGAACUAAAAUUAUAGAAAAAAAUAGCAUAAUGGACUGGAGGAGACCAAAGUAACAUGCCAGCAUAUGCUGUAACACGUGUUUUAUUAAGAAAAAAUUUAAAUUGGGCCUAAGCUAAAUUCAUCAAUCAUAAGAGCACAUUUAGAAAAUAUGACACAAACAGAAUGAGAAACACUCAAUCUAUCUGAUGGAAAGCAGAAAUGAUGAAAAGAAAAGCAAAGAAAAUAGAGAAAAUGGAAAAUAGUUUUAAAUGGUAUCAGUAUUAUAUUCCAAUAAUAGAAACUACAGUAAGCACAAAUGGGUUAACUUGGCCAAUAAAAGAUAAAGACUCCAGGAUUUGAUUUAAAAUAUUUAACAGCAUAUUCUUUAAAACAAUACCAAUUUUAAACAAUCUCAAAGAAUGUUGAAAAUAAAAGCAUAAGAAAGGAUAUAUAGGCAAGUCAAUAUGAAGGAAGGGGAAGCUGGGCUAACAAUUUUAAAUUUGACAAAAUAGAAUUUUAGGCUAAAAUAAGAAACAAUUAUAUACUUAAUAAAGGAAGAACAGACUGUCUGUAAAGCCCAUGGGGCAUGAGGCUAUAGGAAGAGGAGAGGCUGUAUUAGCAAAGCCCUCGAAGUCCACACUGUGUCCUUCAUUGAACACACCUCCCACCCCACCUCCCCCAGAGGCGACCACUACUCCAAACUGUGGGUUUAUUGUUUCUAAUUAGUUUUCUAUUAUUCCAAAACAAAUUACCAAGUGUAGUGGCUUUAACCGACAUACAUUUAUUAUCUUACAGUUUGUGUGAUUCAGAGGAGCAGGCAUGGUUUUAACUGGGUCCUCUGCUCAGUCUCCCAAGGCUGCAACUUAAGGUGUCAGUGGGACUGCCUUCUCAUCAAAGGCUCAGCAAUGGAAAGUUCCACUUCUAGCUUCUCCAGGUCGUUGGCAGAAUUUAUCUCCUGGUGGUCGUAGGACUGAGGUUCUUGUUUUCCUGCAGACUGUUGCCCUGAGGUCACUCAGCUCUCGAAUGUUGCUUACCAUUGCACACUUUGUCGGAAGCCCUCCUGCAGUAUGUCAGCUUACUUCAGGGCCGGUGGGAGAAUGUCCUGCCUUCGCUGGCUCGUGUGGAAUCUUACAUGAUUCAGCGUGACCUUGGGAGUGACAGUCCAUCCCCUUUGCCAGUUCUCACCGGUUCUGCCCAUACCGCAGGGGAAGGAUUAUGCAAUGGUGUGACUCAUUAAGGGUCGCUCUAGGGUGUGUCUGCUGUUUGCAUUGACUUAAUUUUCAUUAUAUAUGUAUGUAUCCUAAAGAUAGCUAUUAUUUAGUACUUUGCAUAUGCUUUCGCAUUUUAUAUGAAUGGAAUCAUUCUGUAUAUAAUAUUCUCUACUUUGAUUUUCCACUCAUAAUUAUUUUUUGGUUCACCUCUGUUGAUAUGUCUUACUGCAGUCCAGUCAUUUCCGCUACUGUGUGUGUAGUAGUGUAUGAUAAAACUGUCACAAAAUCAAUUUGUCAUUCUCCUACCAAAGAAAAUUAGGCUACUUUCAGUCUUUGACAUUCUGAACAAUGUUGGUAUGAGCUUACUCAUGUUCUUGCUGCCAAUGUAUAAAAAUUUCUCAAGGCUUAUAAUCCAUUCUUUAUACAGUGACAAGAGUAAGUAUUCUUUAAAAACAUAAAUCAAAUGAAAUCCCUGUAGUCAUCUCAUUGCACUUGAAGGAAAUCCGAAGUCCUCACCAUGGUUUACAAAGCCCUGCAUGCCCUGGCCUUUGUCCGUGGCUGUGACUUCUUCUUGAACUAGUCUUACCUUUGCUUGCUGUAUUCCACAAUGGCCUUUUGAUUUUCCUCAAACAUGCAGGGUUUUUCAUUCAUUCUUGUCCUUGGGAUUUUAUACCUUCUUGCUAGAAUACACUUCCUUUGCAGCCUUUGGAUGUUGACUCUGUCUCAUCAAGCAUGAUUCGGUGCAAAUGGUACGAGUGGCCUUCCCCAGCCACCAAACCCAAAGUAGCUUCCCACUCACUCAAUCCCAUGACUCCGUUCUAAUUCUUUCCUAAAAUCUAUCACUAUGCCAGUUUUCCUCGAUUUAUUACUUGCCUGUUAAUCUGUUUAUCUCUCCAUUUUGAAUGGAGUGGCUUGCUAUCUUAGAGCAAGAAUCUUCUGCUGCUCUUCUCUCUAUCCCCAAUACCUAGCCAAGUGUCUGGUACAUAUACAGUUCUCAAAAGUGUUAUGGUAAAUGAACAAAAAAUAACUGCAGUAUCAGAAUUCGCAAAAGCCAGUGGCCUAGAGAUAAAGGCAAAAGAGCAUGAUACAAGUUUUCUACAGACUGCAGGUGGACUCAGAGGAUGUGUCGGUCCAUUGCUCUUAACUUCUGAAGGAAUGUUGCCGAAUGCCAACAGAAAGUUUUCUUUCAGACAGAAUUACGAAGAGAUGGCGUAAUAAUGCUGGAUGAGUGAGUCUGGGGAAGGGUUGGGAAAUGGCUCUCGGAGCCAGUCUGUCAUUGAGCAUUUAGUUGUCCACAGCCUUAGUGGCUCACUAAUUAGCACUGCAAAAAUUCAGGCGAGUGACAGUAGCUCAUAUGCUAAUUCCGCUUUUUGCAGUUACAAUUGCCAGGCAGCUAAUGCUAUAAUUGAUGGACACUGCCAGUUGCUGAAAUGGAUGGAAAUUAAUAUUUAAAUUACCGUUGUUAGAGGUCACAAUCACACUUCAGUUGCAUCUACAAGGAGUGUAUUUAUAUUGCCUCUAUCGAUAAAUUGUCAUAUGAUUUUGGGUGUUGAAUAUUAUAAAUAUAAAUAGGUGCAUAACCUUUUACAUUUUUGUCUGUAAUGUAUUCAAGUUCUAUCCCACCCCAAGCUAACAGCCUUUUAAGGAAAACACAAAGAAAAUAACAUAGCGAAAGAUAUAAUUCCUCAAGAAAAAAAUUACUUGUUCCAUAAAGGACUUUUAUUUUAUCUUGGGACUCUUAUAAUUAUUAAACAUAUGUGAUCAGUUAAAAUAAUAUUUACUUCCUCAUGCUUUAAAGGAAAUGAAACUUUGGGGAACAUAUCUUUUUAAAUAGUGGCAUAUAGCCACCUAAUUGUUUCUAUAUUUGGUAAAAUAGAACAUGAACCUUUUUUUUGUUUUUAACUUUAUGGCUGCACCCCUGACAUUUGGAAGUUCCCCGGCCAGGGGUUGAAUCUGAUCUGCAGCUUCAGCCUACUCCACAGCUGCAGGAAUGCUGGGAAUCAAACCCACACCUCUGCAGUGAACCAAGCUGCUGCAGUCAGAGUUCAGAUUCUUAGCCCACUGUGCUCCAGAACAUGAACUCUUUUUUUUUUUUUCUUUUUAGGGCCACACCCAUGGCGUAUGGAAGUUCCCAGGCUAGGGGUCUAAUCGGAGCUACAGCUGCUGACCCACACCACAGCAACACCAGAUCCGAGCCGUGUCUGCCACCUACACCACAGCUCACGGCAACGCCGGAUCCUGAACCCACUGAGUGAGACCAGGGAUCGAACCCGCAACCUCGUGAUUCCUAGUCAGAUUUGUUUCCACUACUCCACAAUGGGAACUCCCCAGAGCAGGAACUCUUGAAGUGGGAUGCUGUUGUAGUAGUCGAGGAUUUUUGAAAUGAUAGUGCAUCACAGUAUUUAUUUUUAAAACAAUGAUUAGGUCAUAUUCAUUCUGUUGUAGGGAAUACAGUUGGAGUAGACAAGUAGUGCCAGUUUUCUUUUUUCUGGUUCUCUUCAUGUGCUUGCUUCUAAUCAUUUCUUUUGGUUUUUCUCAUGGGCUUGUAUUCUUGGAUCCCACUUUAUUUUCGCUUCUAAUUUCAGACUCAAGCCACACCUCCAUAAAUUCUUGUUUAAAAUGUGGUCUGAGGUAUGGUUGGGCAUGUGUAUCUUAUCAGUUGCUUCUAGUACACAGCCAGAGUUGGUAACCAGUGCUUUAUGCUGUCUCGUUGGUUAGUUCAUUCGCGUCCAUAAUUUGAUAUACUUUUCUGAUGAUUCACAUGUGUAUAUCAUCAGUUCUAAUUUAACCUGAAUUUCACUCGAAUAUGAAAAUGCAUGCUUGUCCCUCUCCUUUGAUAGUGUCAGCAUGCCAUUCCUGAACUCAUCCCCCACCAAGUCUCCUCACUUGCUCCUGCCUAGAAUCCGAGAAGCAAUCAGUUUUUCCUUUGCCUCUCCUACUCUAUUUGAGUACUCAGCAAUACUUGAUAACUGGUCUUUGAAAUGUUUCUCAUGUCUUUUCCUUUAUUCUCACUUGAACUUUCUUUUGUUUACCUAAGAUCUUCUCAUCUUAGCUUUCUUAAUAGUUUCCACAGAUUUCCCUUGUUCAGAUCAUCUUCCCAACUAUUUGAACCCACCCACCUAUCUAUCUGGAAUGAUGUAUUUAAAGCACCAAGGUAACCACACUGAUCACAGUUAAAAUUCUUCAGUGGCAUCUCAUCAUUUACUGGAUUCAGUUCAGGCUUCUGAGCAAAGUUAUUUAAGGUAAUUCCGUGACUGCCUUCUGUCUCCUUUCUCAUUGCCAGAUUCUAUGAUUCACACUUUAGUGUCCAGGAUAUGGAGUUACUUAUAGUUGUCCCUAAACAUCAGGUUCUCCUAGUUCUCCAUGUUUUUGUUCAUUUUCUUUUUUCUGUCUAAAAUUAC